AUGCAAGUCGAGCGGGCGUAGCAAUACGUCAGCGGCAGACGGGUGAGUAACGCGUGGGAACGUACCUUUUGGUUCGGAACAACUGAGGGAAACUUCAGCUAAUACCGGAUAAGCCCUUACGGGGAAAGAUUUAUCGCCGAAAGAUCGGCCCGCGUCUGAUUAGCUAGUUGGUGAGGUAAUGGCUCACCAAGGCGACGAUCAGUAGCUGGUCUGAGAGGAUGAUCAGCCACAUUGGGACUGAGACACGGCCCAAACUCCUACGGGAGGCAGCAGUGGGGAAUAUUGGACAAUGGGCGCAAGCCUGAUCCAGCCAUGCCGCGUGAGUGAUGAAGGCCCUAGGGUUGUAAAGCUCUUUUGUGCGGGAAGAUAAUGACGGUACCGCAAGAAUAAGCCCCGGCUAACUUCGUGCCAGCAGCCGCGGUAAUACGAAGGGGGCUAGCGUUGCUCGGAAUCACUGGGCGUAAAGGGUGCGUAGGCGGGUCUUUAAGUCAGGGGUGAAAUCCUGGAGCUCAACUCCAGAACUGCCUUUGAUACUGAAGAUCUUGAGUUCGGGAGAGGUGAGUGGAACUGCGAGUGUAGAGGUGAAAUUCGUAGAUAUUCGCAAGAACACCAGUGGCGAAGGC
rnacentral:rRNA from 1 species